AGAGUUUGAUCAUGGCUCAGAACGAACGCUGGCGGCAUGCCUAACACAUGCAAGUUGAGCGAUAACCAAGGAGCUUGCUCUUUGGGGACAGCAGCGCACGGGUGAGUAACGCGUGGGUAACGUACCCUGGGGCUGGGGAUAACUCACCGAAAGGUGAGCUAAUACCGAAUACGUUCUUUUAGGGUGAGCCUUAAAAGAAGAAAGCGGGGCAACCCGCACCCGAGGAUCGGCCCGCGUUCCAUCAGUUUGUUGGUGGGGUAAUGGCCUACCAAGACUACGACGGAUAGCUGGUCUGAGAGGAUGAUCAGCCACACUGGGACUGAGACACGGCCCAGACUCCUACGGGAGGCAGCAGUGGGGAAUAUUGGUCAAUGGGCGAAAGCCUGAACCAGCAAUGCCGCGUGAGUGAUGAAGGCCUUCGGGUUGUAAAGCUCUGUCAGUGGGAACGAAUAAGUCGAUUAAUACCCGAUGAUGACGGUACCCACAAAGGAAGCACCGGCUAACUCUGUGCCAGCAGCCGCGGUAAUACAGAGGGUGCAAGCGUUGUUCGGAAUUACUGGGCGUAAAGCGCGUGUAGGCGGUUAGAUAAGUCGGUCGUGAAAGCCCUUGGCUUAACCAAGGAACUGCGAUCGAAACUAUUUGACUAGAGUAUCGGAGGGGAUGGUGGAAUUCCCGGUGUAGAGGUGAAAUUCGUAGAUAUCGGGAGGAACACCUGUGGCGAAGGCGACCAUCUGGAAGAUUACUGACGCUGAGACGCGAAAGCGUGGGGAGCAAACAGGAUUAGAUACCCUAGUAGUCC
rnacentral:rRNA from 1 species